GAUGAAGAACGUAGCGAAUGCGAUACGUAGUGUGAAUUGCAGAAUUCAGUGAAUCAUCGAAUCUUUGAACGCACAUUGCACCUCUCGGUAUUCCGGGAGGUAUGCCUGUUCGAGCGUCAUUUGUACCCUCAAGCUCUGCUUGGUGUUGGGUGUUUGUUCCGCCUCUGUGUGUGAACUCGCCUCAAAACAAUUGGCAGCCGGCGUACUUGUUUCGGAGCGCAGCACAUUUUGCGAUCCAGAUCAACGUACAGCGGCAUCCAAGAAGCCUUAUUUAACGCUCUUGACCUCGGAUCAGGUAGGGAUACCCGCUGAACUUAAGCAUAUCAAUAAGCGGAGGA
rnacentral:misc_RNA from 1 species